GAUCUACUAUCUUCCAGGUGAAGACCGAUGACGUAGAAACAACCUCCUUUAAACCAAUCGACCUCCUCGUUUUUUGUUUCACAUCACCGGUCCAGAUGACGACUUCGUCUCAAUGCCAGGUACCAGAGACCUUAUACACUUAAUUAUACCGAUGCGAAUGAUGAAGGACUUGAUGUUAACAUGUUUCCCCCGGGAGAAGCCUAGAUGACACUAUUAGUUCGGUGUUAUUUAUAUCAUUUAUUAGGUUAGGUCGUACUAUCCUGCUUUGUAUAACUUUAUCUAUCCGUAAAGUAGUUUCUCUUCGAUCUACUCCCUUGAGAAGUUCAAUCGAAACAGUUGAGUCCACUAGUCGAACGACUACAUAAUUGGUUUCCAUAAUCACAACAUUUAAUAUACUUUAAUACAUUGUUCUACCCCGAGUAUCUGUAUAAACGGGGUAGAACUCCCCCUCACAACUCUCCUGGAUGAUCACUGUACUUGUUCUUAUCUCCCUGCUUUUACAUUUUGAGUGGAACAUAUAUGAUGAGGGCACCUCCCUACCUUCCUAUUCCAGUUAGGAGUUACAAGGUCUGAAGAGAAGGGAAGAACUCGAUUAGUUGUAAACCAUACACAUGAACCGAGUCAGUCAGGAGAGGCUCUAAACUGGACCGGUCAAUCGUGCUCGCACGCAUGCUCGUUCCUGGUACGGCGCGGGGACGUGGUACAGCGGCCGUUACCGGGACGAUGAUACGAACCGCUACGAUAGGUCACCGCCGACCACGCCCCCCACGUCCCUGCUACUCUCCCGCUGCGAAGACCUGUAGGCGCCGGUCAAGUUGAUGUUGAGCGGCGACCUGACCUUAUCGUGUCUAACGACGGCCACCCUCCCCCACUCGACGUCGAGGGGGUGUCGAGCACAGUGGCCGGAGCUGGAGUCGUAUGACGUGUCAUAACGGAGGUCGUCUCCGGAUGAGUUGUGGUGGUACAAGGAGGGGAACGUUCUCGACGUCCUAGACAGGGACUCGCCGGAGUUCUAUGUUCCUACGUGUGGGCCACGUCCGAAACUUCAUACCAGUUUUAAUGUGUCUGAUUUUCAAGAACUAAAUAGGAUAUUACCUUUUAAUUACCUCUCACUGCAGGGUAGGAAUCAGCGUUAAAAUAGCGAUGCCAGGGAUAAGGAGUUGCCCUUACUGAAGUCGAGGUUAUACUGUUAUGUCGUUGACUCGUAUUACUUCAACCUAUGAGAACUGUAUCCGUUAUUACUAUAGUUUCCGUGGUAUGGAUGUCACCUGAGAGUUCUACACUUCACCAAACCUUGACCAGUAACACUACAGGACUAACCUUGUUCUUCCGCUACGAAAAGGUUUAGAACCUGAUCCAAUUAGAAUUCGGUGAAAGAAUCAGUAACAAUAGACGUUGAUCAUCCGUAUCCUCGCCGCCGCGCGGCGUGGACACCACCUCGGAUACGUACGUAGAUGCAACAAAAAAAUAAAAUUUUAUUCUCUUCCUUACCGCCACCCAAACUCCAGGUCGACCGGUGCAUCUUUAGAAACAUGAGAAACUAGUAACAUGCUAGUUCCAUCAAAUCUUUGUCUCAUUCUUUGUAGGAGUUAAGUA
rnacentral:rRNA from 1 species